rnacentral:rRNA from 1 species
UACGUAGGGUGCAAGCGUUAAUCGGAAUUACUGGGCGUAAAGCGUGCGCAGGCGGUUUUGUAAGUCUGUCGUGAAAUCCCCGGGCUCAACCUGGGAAUUGCGAUGGAGACUGCAAGGCUAGAAUCUGGCAGAGGGGGGUAGAAUUCCGACGUGUGAGCAGUGAAAUGCGUGAGAGAUGUGGAGGAACGACCGAUGGCGCAAGGCAGCCCCCUGGGUC